AGCCGGGGAGAUAGCGGUGCCCUGUACCUGCAAUCCGCUCUAGCAGGGGUGAUAUUUCAUUGCGGGCUACGUGUUGUGGAGCUGCCCUUGGUAAGUGGCGAUGACGUCUGGGUCUUACGCAACAGAACUCUAUGAACCGUGUCAGGGCAGGAAUGCAGCAGCACUAAGUAGAUCCUUCUGUGUGCCGUGAGGCAGCCUGGACCGAGUUAACUGCCCAGGUAACGUCUGUGACA
rnacentral:SRP_RNA from 1 species